GCGAUGAAGGACGUGCUAAUCUGCGAUAAGCGUCGGUAAGGUGAUAUGAACCGUUAUAACCGGCGAUUUCCGAAUGGGGAAACCCAGUGUGUUUCGACACACUAUCAUUAACUGAAUCCAUAGGUUAAUGAGGCGAACCGGGGGAACUGAAACAUCUAAGUACCCCGAGGAAAAGAAAUCAACCGAGAUUCCCCCAGUAGCGGCGAGCGAACGGGGAGCAGCCCAGAGCCUGAAUCAGUGUGUGUGUUAGUGGAAGCGUCUGGAAAGGCGCGCGAUACAGGGUGACAGCCCCGUACACAAAAAUGCACAUACUGUGAGCUCGAUGAGUAGGGCGGGACACGUGGUAUCCUGUCUGAAUAUGGGGGGACCAUCCUCCAAGGCUAAAUACUCCUGACUGACCGAUAGUGAACCAGUACCGUGAGGGAAAGGCGAAAAGAACCCCGGCGAGGGGAGUGAAAAAGAACCUGAAACCGUGUACGUACAAGCAGUGGGAGCCUCUUAAUGGGGUGACUGCGUACCUUUUGUAUAAUGGGUCAGCGACUUAUAUUCUGUAGCAAGGUUAACCGAAUAGGGGAGCCGAAGGGAAACCGAGUCUUAACUGGGCGUUAAGUUGCAGGGUAUAGACCCGAAACCCGGUGAUCUAGCCAUGGGCAGGUUGAAGGUUGGGUAACACUAACUGGAGGACCGAACCGACUAAUGUUGAAAAAUUAGCGGAUGACUUGUGGCUGGGGGUGAAAGGCCAAUCAAACCGGGAGAUAGCUGGUUCUCCCCGAAAGCUAUUUAGGUAGCGCCUCGUGAAUUCAUCUCCGGGGGUAGAGCACUGUUUCGGCAAGGGGGUCAUCCCGACUUACCAACCCGAUGCAAACUGCGAAUACCGGAGAAUGUUAUCACGGGAGACACACGGCGGGUGCUAACGUCCGUCGUGAAGAGGGAAACAACCCAGACCGCCAGCUAAGGUCCCAAAGUCAUGGUUAAGUGGGAAACGAUGUGGGAAGGCCCAGACAGCCAGGAUGUUGGCUUAGAAGCAGCCAUCAUUUAAAGAAAGCGUAAUAGCUCACUGGUCGAGUCGGCCUGCGCGGAAGAUGUAACGGGGCUAAACCAUGCACCGAAGCUGCGGCAGCGACACUAUGUGUUGUUGGGUAGGGGAGCGUUCUGUAAGCCUGUGAAGGUGUACUGUGAGGUAUGCUGGAGGUAUCAGAAGUGCGAAUGCUGACAUAAGUAACGAUAAAGCGGGUGAAAAGCCCGCUCGCCGGAAGACCAAGGGUUCCUGUCCAACGUUAAUCGGGGCAGGGUGAGUCGACCCCUAAGGCGAGGCCGAAAGGCGUAGUCGAUGGGAAACAGGUUAAUAUUCCUGUACUUGGUGUUACUGCGAAGGGGGGACGGAGAAGGCUAUGUUGGCCGGGCGACGGUUGUCCCGGUUUAAGCGUGUAGGCUGGUUUUCCAGGCAAAUCCGGAAAAUCAAGGCUGAGGCGUGAUGACGAGGCACUACGGUGCUGAAGCAACAAAUGCCCUGCUUCCAGGAAAAGCCUCUAAGCAUCAGGUAACAUCAAAUCGUACCCCAAACCGACACAGGUGGUCAGGUAGAGAAUACCAAGGCGCUUGAGAGAACUCGGGUGAAGGAACUAGGCAAAAUGGUGCCGUAACUUCGGGAGAAGGCACGCUGAUAUGUAGGUGAAGUCCCUUGCGGAUGGAGCUGAAAUCAGUCGAAGAUACCAGCUGGCUGCAACUGUUUAUUAAAAACACAGCACUGUGCAAACACGAAAGUGGACGUAUACGGUGUGACGCCUGCCCGGUGCCGGAAGGUUAAUUGAUGGGGUUAGCGGUAACGCGAAGCUCUUGAUCGAAGCCCCGGUAAACGGCGGCCGUAACUAUAACGGUCCUAAGGUAGCGAAAUUCCUUGUCGGGUAAGUUCCGACCUGCACGAAUGGCGUAAUGAUGGCCAGGCUGUCUCCACCCGAGACUCAGUGAAAUUGAACUCGCUGUGAAGAUGCAGUGUACCCGCGGCAAGACGGAAAGACCCCGUGAACCUUUACUAUAGCUUGACACUGAACAUUGAGCCUUGAUGUGUAGGAUAGGUGGGAGGCUUUGAAGUGUGGACGCCAGUCUGCAUGGAGCCGGCCUUGAAAUACCACCCUUUAAUGUUUGAUGUUCUAACGUUGGCCCCUGAUCGGGGUUGCGGACAGUGUCUGGUGGGUAGUUUGACUGGGGCGGUCUCCUCCUAAAGAGUAACGGAGGAGCACGAAGGUUGGCUAAUCCUGGUCGGACAUCAGGAGGUUAGUGCAAUGGCAUAAGCCAGCUUGACUGCGAGCGUGACGGCGCGAGCAGGUGCGAAAGCAGGUCAUAGUGAUCCGGUGGUUCUGAAUGGAAGGGCCAUCGCUCAACGGAUAAAAGGUACUCCGGGGAUAACAGGCUGAUACCGCCCAAGAGUUCAUAUCGACGGCGGUGUUUGGCACCUCGAUGUCGGCUCAUCACAUCCUGGGGCUGAAGUAGGUCCCAAGGGUAUGGCUGUUCGCCAUUUAAAGUGGUACGCGAGCUGGGUUUAGAACGUCGUGAGACAGUUCGGUCCCUAUCUGCCGUGGGCGCUGGAGAACUGAGGGGGGCUGCUCCUAGUACGAGAGGACCGGAGUGGACGCAUCACUGGUGUUCGGGUUGUCAUGCCAAUGGCACUGCCCGGUAGCUAAAUGCGGAAGAGAUAAGUGCUGAAAGCAUCUAAGCACGAAACUUGCCCC
rnacentral:rRNA from 1 species